CAGGAAGUAGCUUUUUAUUAAACAUUGUCUUAUUUAUUUUUGUAAACAAAUAAUGAACAAAACACAUCAUUUGAGCAGACACUCUGAUCUUAAGGCAUCAACAUUAUACUUUAGACUUCCACAGAUUCAAGCCUUUAAUACUGUAAACCUCCACUCAGAUCAGAGGUGGAUUCUUAUUGGAGGAGGCAGUAAUGGGAAGUAACUAAGUACAUAUAUUCAAGAACUAAGCUUAAGAAUCAUUUUGACGUGCUUCAACUUUACUUGAUUUUAGAAGCCAAUAUCGUACAUUUAUUUGACGACAUUAGUUAGUUUGCUCGUCCCUAUUAUUCAUACUAAAUAUAAAUCAACUAAUAAAUGAUGAUCUAAUUAGCAACAUAACAAGUCAUUAAAGUUAGCUCCUACCUUUAUAGCCGCAAAAUGAAAAGGGUGAACACAUUCAUUGAUCACUAAUGAUCCAGUCCAGAGAUUCAAUAAAUGGAUAUUCUGCUAAAUUAGCACUUUUUUUUGUUGGUACUUCAAACAUAUCGAUGCUUUUGGUACUUCAAACAUAUUGGUGCCUUUGGUACUUCAAACAUAUCGAUGCUUUUGGUACUUCAAACAUAUCGAUUCUUUUGGUACUUCAAACAUAUCGAUGCUUUUGGUACUUCAAACAUAUCGAUUCUUUUGGUACUUCAAACAUAUCGAUGCUUUUGGUACUUC